rnacentral:rRNA from 1 species
UACGUAGGGGGCAAGCGUUGUCCGGAAUCAUUGGGCGUAAAGAGCGUGUAGGCGGCUCGAUAAGUCUGCUGUGAAAGUCCAGGGCUCAACCCUGGAAUGCCGGUGGAAACUGUCGAGCUAGAGUCCGGAAGAGGCGAGUGGAAUUCCUGGUGUAGCGGUGAAAUGCGCAGAUAUCAGGAGGAACACCAAUUGCGAAGGCAGCUCGCUGGGACGCGACUGACGCUGAGACGCGAAAGCGUGGGGAGCAAACAGG